rnacentral:rRNA from 1 species
AGGACGAACGCUGGCGGCGUGCUUAACACAUGCAAGUCAAGGGGGCCCAGCAAUGGGCAACCGGCGAACGGGUGCGUAACACGUGAGCAACCUACCGAAAUGUGGGGGAUAGCCGGCCGUAACGGCCGAGUAAUACCGCAUACGCUCUCGAUGAGGCAUUUCAUUGAGAGGAAACCUACGGGACAUUUCGAGGGGCUCGCGGCCUAUCAGCUAGUUGGCGAGGUAACGGCUCACCAAGGCAACGACGGGUA